CUUAAAGGAAUUGACGGGGCCGCACAAGCGGUGGAGCAUGUGGUUUAAUUCGAUGCAACGCGAAAACCUUACCUACCCUUGACAUGUCCGGAAUCCCGAAGAGAUUUGGGAGUGCUCGCAAGAGAACCGGAACACAGGUGCUGCAUGGCUGUCGUCAGCUCGUGUCGUGAGAUGUUGGGUUAAGUCCCGCAACGAGCGCAACCCUUGUCAUUAGUUGCCAUCAUUUGGUUGGGCACUCUAAUGAGACUGCCCGGUGACAAACCGGAGGAAGGUGGGGAUGACGUCAAGUCCUCAUGGCCCUUAUGGGUAGGGCUUCACACGUCAUACAAUGGUCGGUACAGAGGGUUGCCAACCCGCGAGGGGGAGCUAAUCCCACAAAGCCGAUCGUAGUCCGGAUCGCAGUCUGCAACUCGACUGCGUGAAGUCGGAAUCGCUAGUAACCGUGGAUCAGCAUGUCGCGGUGAAUACGUUCCCGGGUCUU
rnacentral:rRNA from 1 species